AGCUGCGCAUCGAGCACAUAGCGAACUAUUCUUUCGCCUUUUACUAAAGAAUACCGUGUGUUUGUUGCUACUCAAGCAGUAUAUGCCAUUUUUUGGAGGUUGUUUUAUUUACAAUAAAA